GAAGCGCUUGUGAAACUGACGAUUCGGGGAGAGGGGGUGGGGAAGAGCUACAGAAAACUUAGGGACAACAGCAGAGAGAGAGAGAGCCCGGGUGCUGUGCUAGGCUUAGCCGCCGGGGACGGGUUGUGGUGGUGGGGGGGGAGGGGGAACUCCAGCGUUGCCGAAGCCGGGCGCACACAAGCGGCGAUGCUCCGCCAAACCAGCGCGGCGCCCACACCGUCGGAGAACGCAGCGCCCCAUUGUCCGCCGCGGUGCCAGACUUUGCAAGUGUUUCAACACUCGAAUGACCCUCCCUAUCUGCGGGGCUCACUUGGCCGCUGGUGUGCCUCUUGCGGGACCCUGAAACUCCAGGCAGGGAACAACAUGAGUUCAUGAGCUGGGGGUUUUCUCCCCUCUGCCCUUGAAGGUGCUGGUUUACAUGGUGUGUUUCAUCUCUUUUGCUGUUCAGAGAACUUUGAUGCUUCAGUGUCGUGUCUCUGCCUCUCCACUCUGUGUGACUCUGGGACGAACGUAAAUAGAACAGAACAGGAAUUGUUGCUCAUAGAUACUCUGGAAAUCUCUGCCUCUACUCUAUAAAACUCAACUUUCACUCACUAACACACAGCCUCCAGAUGCUGCCAGACCUGCUGAACUUCCAGCAACUUCUGUUUUUGUUUCUGAUUUACGGCAUCCGCAGUUCUUUCAGUUUUUACCAUGUAGCCCAUGGUAGCUGUCAUAAAAAGCCAGCUGGUUCCCUAAUGUCCUUUUUAGAGAAGUAAAUCUACUGUGUUUGCCUGGUCUGGCCUACAGAUCCACAACGAUGCAAUUGACUCUUAGCUGCCCUUUGGUCUAUCAUAAAUGUGGGGCUAGCCAGCAAUGUCCUUAUCUUAUGAAUAAAUAAAAACACAAUCUGAAAAAGCUGGUGGAAGUAGAUUAUUAAUUCCCUAUUAUGUACAGGUAUGAGACAUUUGAAACCG